GAUGAACGCUGGCGGCGUGCCUAAUACAUGCCAGUCGAGCGAACAGAUGAGGAGCUUGCUCCUCUGACGUUAGCGGCGGACGGGUGAGUAACACGUGGAUAACCUACCUAUAAGACUGGGAUAACUUCGGGAAACCGGAGCUAAUACCGGAUAAUAUAUUGAACCGCAUGGUUCAAUAGUGAAAGACGGUUUUGCUGUCACUUAUAGAUGGAUCCGCGCCGCAUUAGCUAGUUGGUAAGGUAACGGCUUACCAAGGCAACGAUGCGUAGCCGACCUGAGAGGGUGAUCGGCCACACUGGAACUGAGACACGGUCCAGACUCCUACGGGAGGCAGCAGUAGGGAAUCUUCCGCAAUGGGCGAAAGCCUGACGGAGCAACGCCGCGUGAGUGAUGAAGGUCUUCGGAUCGUAAAACUCUGUUAUUAGGGAAGACCAAAUGUGUAAGUAACUAUGCACGUCUUGACGGUACCUAAUCAGAAAGCCACGGCUAACUACGUG
rnacentral:rRNA from 1 species